rnacentral:rRNA from 1 species
AUUAGAGUUUGAUCCUGGCUCAGGAUGAACGCUGGCGGCGUGCUUAACACAUGCAAGUCGAACGAUGAAGCCUGGUGCUUGCACCGGGUGGAUUAGUGGCGAACGGGUGAGUAUCACGUGAGUAACCUACCCUUGACUCUGGGAUAAGCCCGGGAAACUGGGUCUAAUACCGGAUAUGACCAGUCACCGCAUGGUGUGCUGGUGGAAAGCUUUAGCGGUUUUGGAUGGACUCGCGGCCUAUCAGCUAGACGGUGAGGUAAUGGCUCACCGUGGCGAUGACGGGUAGCCGGCCUGAGAGGGUGACCGGCCACACUGGGACUGAGACACGGCCCAGACUCCUACGGGAGGCAGCAGUGGGGAAUAUUGCACAAUGGGCGCAAGCCUGAUGCAGCGACGCCGCGUGUGGGAUGACGGCCUUCGGGUUGUAAACCACUUUCAGCAGGGAAGAAGCUUUUUGUGACGGUACCUGCAGAAGAAGCGCCGGCUAACUACGUGCCAGCAGCCGCGGUAAUACGUAGGGCGCGAGCGUUAUCCGGAAUUAUUGGGCGUAAAGAGCUCGUAGGCGGUUUGUCACGUCUGCUGUGAAAGCCCGGGGCUUAACCCCGGGUGUGCAGUGCGUACGGGCAGACUGGAGUGCAGUAGGGGAGACUGGAAUUCCUGGUGUAGCGGUGAAAUGCGCAGAUAUCAGGAGGAACACCGAUGGCGAAAGGCAGGUCUCUGGGCUGUUACUGACGCUGAGGAGCGAAAGCAUGGGGAGCGAACAGGAUUAGAUACCCUGGUAGUGCAUGCCGUAAACGUUGGGCACUAGGUGUGGGGAACAUUCCACGUUUUCCGCGCCGUAGCUAACGCAUUAAGUGCCCCGCCUGGGGAGUACGGCCGCAAGGCUAAAACUCAAAGGAAUUGACGGGGGCCCGCACAAGCGGCGGAGCAUGCGGAUUAAUUCGAUGCAACGCGAAGAACCUUACCAAGGCUUGACAUACACCGGACCGCCCUAGAG